UACGUAGGGUGCAAGCGUUAAUCGGAAUUACUGGGCGUAAAGCGUGCGCAGGCGGUUUUUGUAAGUCUGUCGUGAAAUCCCCGGGCUCAACCUGGGAAUUGCGAUGGAGACUGCAAGGCUAGAAUCUGGCAGAGGGGGGUAGAAUUCCACGUGUAGCAGUGAAAUGCGUAGAUAUGUGGAGGAACACCGAUGGCGAAGGCAGCCCCCUGGGUCAAAAACUGACGCUCAUGCACGAAAGCGUGGGGAGCAAACAGG
rnacentral:rRNA from 1 species